AGUGAACGCUGGCGGUAGGCCUAACACAUGCAAGUCGAACGGCAGCACAGUAAGAGCUUGCUCUUAUGGGUGGCGAGUGGCGGACGGGUGAGGUAUACAUCGGAAUCUACUUUUUCGUGGGGGAUAACGUAGGGAAACUUACGCUAAUACCGCAUAUGACCUACGGGUGAAAGCAGGGGAUCUUCGCACCUUGCGCGAUUGAAUGAGCCGAUGUCGGAUUAGCUAGUUGGCGGGGUAAAGGCCCACCAAGGCGACGAUCCGUAGCUGGUCUGAGAGGAUGAUCAGCCACACUGGAACUGAGACACGGUCCAGAGUCCUACGGGAGGCAGCAGUGGGGAAUAGUGGACAAUGGGCGCAAGCCUGAUCCAGCCAGACCGCGUGGGUGAAGAAGGCCUUCGGGUUGUAAAGCCCUUUUGUUGGGAAAGAAAAGCAGUAGCUUAAUACCCCGCUGUUCUGACGGUACCCAAAGAAUAAGCACCGGCUAACUUCGUG
rnacentral:rRNA from 1 species